UACAGAGGGUGCGAGCGUUGUUCGGAAUCAUUGGGCGUAAAGGGCGCGUAGGCGGCCAACUAAGUCGGAUGUGAAAUCCCCAGGCUUAACCUGGGAACUGCAUCCGAUACUGGUCGGCUUGAAUCCGGGAGAGGGAUGCAGAAUUCCAGGUGUAGCGGUGAAAUGCGUAGAUAUCUGGAGGAAUACCGGUGGCGAAGGCGGCAUCCUGGACCGGCAUUGACGCUGAACAGCGAAAGCUAGGGGAGCAAACGGG
rnacentral:rRNA from 1 species